UGCCAGCCGCCGCGGUAAUACGGAGGGUGCAAGCGUUGUUCGGAAUCACUGGGCGUAAAGCGCACGUAGGCGGGUCAGUCAGUCAGGGGUGAAAUCCCGAGGCUCAACCUCGGAACUGCCUUUGAUACUGCUGGCCUUGAGGUCGAGAGAGGUGAGUGGAAUUCCUAGUGUAGAGGUGAAAUUCGUAGAUAUUAGGAAGAACACCAGUGGCGAAGGCGGCUCACUGGCUCGAUUCUGACGCUGAUGCGCGAAAGCUAGGGGAGCGAACGGGAUUAGAUA
rnacentral:rRNA from 1 species